ensembl:processed_transcript
UCUCCCCUGAUUGGUUGGCGAGCCAAAUCAAAGAAACACCACAUGUGUGUGUACCUGUGAGCGGGUCUGCAGCUGGAUAUGUCUCCCACCACCCCCUGCAGUGCUGAAGCUGAUCUCCGGUGGAGUAGCAAUGGAGUUUAUUUUUCGCUACAUUUUAAGCCACAGGUAAAGAAAAUAGCGAGGAAGAAGAGAAAACGACGCUAUUUGUCAGUCUAGCUACAUGUAUAUGUGCUGCCGAAGCAAGCACGAACUAGGAGCCUGGAGAACUGCUAUAUAAACCCGGGACUUCUGGGUAUGUUUCUGCCAUGUGGCAUGCGCGGACCUUCCCCCGCCGCAGACCAGAGGACAACAUGCUCAGACGCCAGCAAACGGCCCAUCGAAACAUUCACAGACUCUCGGAGGCUAAAGAAGAUCUCGAAAGACCUGAAAAGCUGAGAUCAAAGCAGCCAUUGAACUCACAGCCGAAGAAACGUUCAAGCUAAUGUGAAGGCUAGUGCUUCAGCUUCAUGUGCUGAGUAACAUUCUCAGGCGUAGCGUAGCGUAUUUUUAAUGCUUUAAAUGAGGUUUAGUUGCACCGAAAUGAGUCGUAAUGAUGAAUAUUUCUCAACUAUAUCUUACUUAUACACUCUUUUAUCUGCAUAGCUUAAAAGAGGGGUAUUUCUAUCAAAAAAUGAAAGUUUACUCAUCAUUUACUCCACCGUUAACCCAGCUUGAGUUUCUUUUUUGUAGUUAAGCACGAAAGAAAAUGUUAUGAAGAAUGCUGGACAUGGGUAGCAAUUGAUAUCUAUGGAGGAAUGAAAUUCCACACAGAAAGCUACACAGGAAGGAUGCAUUUAUUUAAUUUAAAAAUAAAGCAGUAAUACUGUGAAGGGUUGUUAUUACUAUGAAAGUCAGUGGAUGCUAGUUUGUCCAGUGAUGUUUGUGUUCAACAGAACAAGGAAACUCAAACACAUUUAAAACAUGUGGAGAGUGUGUGAAUGAUCACAGAAUAUUCAUUUUUGGGUCAACUGUCCAUUUAGGUGGUUCAAGUACUGUGUUUUUCUCAUUUAAACACACACAAUAAAAGAUAUUUUGACAAAUGUUCAAAAUCGGUACAUUCAUAGUGGGGAAGAAAAUACUAUGGUAGUCAAUGGUCACCGGUUUCAAACCUUUCAGUUUCUUUUCAAAUAAAGAUGACAGACAUUUCAUUUUUGGCUGAACUGUCUCUUUAAGUGGUUUAAAUACUGUUAUUUUCAUUUGUACACAAAAGAAGAUAUUUUGGAAAAUUUUCAAAACCAGUACAUUUCUUAGUAUGGAAGAAAAUACUAUACCAUACUAAGUUAAUGGUUACCGGUUUCAAACCUUUUUUAAAUUUUUUUUUUUAAAUAAAAAUGACAGAAUUUUCAUUUUUAGGUCAACAAUCCCUUUAAGUGGUUCUGACACCGUUUUUCACAUUUAAACACAAAAGAUAGUUUGAAAAAUGUUAAAAACCAGUACAAUUGUUGUGGGAAAGAAAAUGCUUUGGGAGUCAAUGGUUACCGGUUUCAAACCUUUUUUCAAAUUUUUUUCAGAUAAAGAUGACAGAAUAUUCAUUUUUGGAUCAUUUGUCCAUUUAUGUGGUUCAAAUGCUGUGUUAUUACCAUUUAAACACAAAAGAAGAUAUUUAGAAAAAUGUCCAAAACCAGUACAAUCAUAGUAGGGAACAAAUACUAUGGAAGUCAAUGGGUUUUGGGUCAACUGUCGCAUUAAGUGGUUCAAAUGCUGUGCUAUUUUCAUUUGAACACAAAAGAAGAUAUUUUGAAAAAUGUUUAAAACCAGUAUAUUUGUAAUAGGGAAGAAAAUACUAUGGUAGUCAAUGGUCACCGGUUUCAGACCUUUUUUCAAUUUGUUUUUCGAAUAAAAAUGACAGAAUAUUAAUUUUUGGGUGAACUGUCCAUAUAAGUGGUUCUGAUACUGUGAUAUUCUCAUUUAAACACAAAAGAAGAUAGUUUGAAAAAUGUUCAAAACCAGUACAAUUGUAGUUUUUUUUUUUUUUUCUCAAAUGAAGGUGACAGGAUGGGUAUCUUUUAAUUUCUUUAUUCAUCAAAGACUUCUAGGAGAAAUGUUUUUACAAAAAUAGCUAGCUUAAAUGAUUUCAGCAUUUAUUAUGUUUUUUCCAGCACCAUACAAGCAUUUUUGAAUGAUUUCCGGAUGCAAGUCAUGAUGCUGAAUAAUAAGAUUCGGGUCCAAAAAUAUAUGAAAACAGCAGUUAAGUUGUAAGAACGUUUCACAAUAUCACUGCUUUCUACUGUUUUUUUAUUCAAUAAACACAUCCUUACUGUAUACCUUUCUGUGUGUUGUGUAUAUGUCAUUAUUAUUUAAAACAUUAAAAGACCAUCACAGUGAAUUGAGUUUUUAAUAUGAAAGUUAAUAAAUAAUUGCUUUAGGUUGUAUGUAAUAAAAUAAAUUAGUAAAUUGUUGCAUUUUACACUCAUACUUUUUUUAAUUUAAUACAGCUAUCAUUGCUGUGUACAUCUUUCUGUGUUGUGUGCAUUAUUAACUCAGAAAAAACUCCAUCAAAGUGAAUUCAUGACUUUUUAAAAUGAGAAAUAGAUUUCUAGUUCUUUUUUCAAAUAAAUAAGUUAGUUAAUUUGUUAUAACAUUUUACAAUAUACAUAUUACAAUAAUGUUUUAGUGUAUUUUUGGUCCAACAAAUGCAGUUUUGAUGUUUAUCUGUAUUAAAUGUUAUUAGUAAAACUC